rnacentral:lncRNA from 1 species
UCCAUCAUGUGUAAUGAGCAUCCACUACUCAGGUACUAGCUUAAACCCUGGCCUUUUCUUACCAAGGAUAUCUACAAUAGGAACAAUUUAAGAUUUUGGUAACCAUAUCUUUUUGGCCCCAUAAGCAUUAGUACCCUUAGACAUUUGUUAAAUCUUAUGGAUACAUUUGAACUUGGAGUGUCUAGACUCACCACAGAAGCCAUAUUUGU